CCUACAUUUCUUGGAGAAGUAUUUUUUGUUCCUCUAUUUCAGAUGCUUUCUUAAAUAUCUUAUCUCCAUCGAAGCCUCCUCAUUACUCUUCUUCAACUUUUAGAGUUUCUCUUUGACUUCAGCGGCAUCUCGUUGAGCUCGGCAUAAAUUUUCUCCAAGAUUUUUUAUCAGAACCCUCAAAGGCAAGACAAUUGGCAGAUG
rnacentral:lncRNA from 1 species